AACGAACGCUGGCGGCAUGCCUAACACAUGCAAGUCGAACGAGACCUUCGGGUCUAGUGGCGCACGGGUGCGUAACGCGUGGGAACCUGCCCUUAGGUUCGGAAUAACUCCCCGAAAGGGGUGCUAAUACCGGAUAAUGUCUUCGGACCAAAGAUUUAUCGCCUUUGGAUGGGCCCGCGUUGGAUUAGCUAGUUGGUAGGGUAAAAGCCUACCAAGGCGACGAUCCAUAGCUGGUCUGAGAGGAUGAUCAGCCACACUGGGACUGAGACACGGCCCAGACUCCUACGGGAGGCAGCAGUGGGGAAUAUUGGACAAUGGGCGAAAGCCUGAUCCAGCAAUGCCGCGUGAGUGAUGAAGGCCUUAGGGUUGUAAAGCUCUUUUACCCGGGAUGAAAAUGACAGUACCGGGAGAAUAAGCGCCGGCUAACUCCGUG
rnacentral:rRNA from 1 species